AAGUACAUACUUAUAGUCUGAAAGCAUCUUAAGCAAAAAGAUGCAAAUCUACACCAGCCAGCCUAGCCUCCCGCGAUCUCUACAAGCUCGCUACUGGUCACCUGAAACAACAACAAGUGAGGAGUGAGUAAUCUAGCAUUACUCAGCUAGUUACAAUCCCCAACUAACAAAUACAACCCCUCGCUAUCCCACCCCAAGCAAUCUAAAGCGAGAGGUUAACCUAAAAACAAAUCAACCCAAUUCAACGAAUAAUAAUAAGCAAUAUCAGAAAUACGCAGCUGGAAAAAGAUAGUAAGAUAUCUAGCAAUAUGCUAAUUACUAGCUCAAUACCAAACUCAAA
rnacentral:lncRNA from 1 species